rnacentral:tRNA from 2 species
GCAUUUGUAGUCCAAUGGUUAGGAUAAUUGCCUUCUAAGCAUUAGACCCAGGUUCGAUUUCCGACAAACGUA